UUGAUUUUGAGCUGACUCUGAUUGGCUGAAACAACAUCAUGUGACCACCUGUAAAAGUAGUUAUAAACCUGAGUGGUUUGCAGGUGUUCAAAAAAGUUGGUAGAACAAGUGUUAUUGACCUGCUAUAAAUAGAUUCUGGAACAGGUAUUCAAAAAAGUUGGUAGAUAAAGUGUUAUUGACCUGCUAUAAAUAGAUUCUGGAACAGGUGUUUAAAAAAGUUGGUAGAUAAAGUGUUAUUGACCUGCUAUAAAUAAAUUCUGGAAUUUUUGU